GGUGAACGCUGGCGGCAUGCCUAACACAUGCAAGUCGAACGGAAGGACAGUAAGAGCUUGUUUCUGAGGGUGGCGGGGGGCGGACGGGUGAGGCAUGGAUCGGCAUCCUAUUUUUCGGGGGGGAUAACGGGAGGACAGGUAUGGUACCAGCUGAUACUAUGUACGGGUGAGAGCAGGGGAGCUUCGGACCCUGCCUGAUAGUAUUAGCUGAUGUUGGAUUAGCUAGUUGGCUGGGUAAAGGCCCACCAAGGCGACGAUACGUAGCCGAGCUGAGAGGAUGAUCGGCCACACUGGAACUGAGACACGGUCCAGACCCCUACGGGAGGCAGCAGUAGGGAAUCUUCGGCAAUGGGCGCAAGCCUGAUGCAGCCAUGCCGCGUGAGUGAAGAAGGCCUUCGGGUUGUAAAGCCCUUUUAUUAGGGAAGAAAAGCUGCGUGAGUACCCCCCGCCAUUCUGACGGUACCCAAAGAAAAAGCCCCGGCUAACUUCGUG
rnacentral:rRNA from 1 species